CACGUAGGGGGCAAGCGUUGUCCGGAAUCAUUGGGCGUAAAGAGCUCGUAGGCGGCUCAGUAAGUCGGGUGUGAAACCCCCAGGCUCAACCUGGGGACGCCACCCGAUACUGCUGUGGCUAGAGUCCAGUAGGGGAGUGUGGAAUUCCCGGUGUAGCGGUGAAAUGCGCAGAUAUCGGGAGGAACACCAGCGGCGAAGGCGGCACUCUGGGCUGGUACUGACGCUGAGGAGCGAAAGCGUGGGGAGCGAACAGG
rnacentral:rRNA from 1 species